CACUUUGUAUUGUUCGAAGUUGAGAGAGAAGGAGCCGGAGUCUCCGAGGUGGCGUUGGGUGGGGGCGCUACUAGCUCCCGUUCUCUCAGCGUCUCUAGAGGGAAGGGCGCCGGUGGGAGCAGGAGAGUCUGCACCGGGCAGGCCUCCUUAGGUGCCGGGUUGCGCGCAGGGCCCUGUGCUUGUCUCGCCUCCGGUUGGCUCAGGCCUCGGAGCAUGAGUGCGCCGGCAACUGCUGGGCCCGGGACAGUGAAGCAGAGGAGGAGGUGGGGGAGGCGAGCCCAGGUCGGGGAAGGGCAGCACCUGAAUCACCCUUGGGGCCCAGACCCCCAAGAGUCUCCGGGGAGCCGAGGCCUGGCGAGGCAGUCCCGGGAUUCGCCCCCUCCCCGCUGGCCCGAGGGCGCACCACGUGCUGGGCAGAGACUUCGGCGAGGCCGAGUGGACCCUGCAGCGCUGCUUGGGAAAGGGCACCUUGGACUACCUGGUGGGGGCGUUGUGCUUCGUUACCGACCGCCGGGACGCCAACCCACGGUGCCCACCCGUGCGUCAUUCCGCUGUGGAUCAGCCCUUUGGCGGCCCCCCUCCAAAGUCUACAAGGUCACACGGAUGUCUGCAGGCAGAGGUGGGAUAGGAGCAUGCCAGGUGCUGCGAGGGUUUAAUCGGGCUCUUCUGCUGGCCUUGA
rnacentral:lncRNA from 1 species